rnacentral:tRNA from 4 species
GCGUCGUUAGCUCAGUCGGUAGAGCAGCUGGCUCUUAACCAGCGGGUCACAGGUUCGAACCCUGCACGACGUACCA